AAAUAAUAAUCAUGUUUUAAAGUGGGUCCUGGAACAUCUAUUUGAUCUCUGAAAUGAUUAGUACUCAAGCCAGAGUCUAACAUCAUUUAAAACUUAAAAUUCUAAGGGGAAAUAUCUUCUAUAGAAUAUAAUAAAUCUGGAACCCGAGAGGUCCAGAGUUACCAUGCACUCCUCUUUCCUACCUAACUCCCCCUUUUCCUCCAGAACUUUCAAAUGCUGUGAGGUUUGGCAGGCUCUGGAAUACAGGCAUUUUCCUUCCUCAGUGCUCAAGCAUUAGCCGUCUGCCCUGGGAGGGGAAGAGAACACUUGCCGUGCGCUGUGUGCCGUCCAUGAGCGGAGGGGCUGAACCAGUUCAUCUCCACUUAGUCCUCUCCCCCUCGGAAAACACAGCACACAAGUUAGAAAGUUGGUUGAAGGCUGGUUUCUGCUCUGUGCCAUACCACCCUCUGGAGGCGAUCAGAGUCUGAGGGAUGUGUGAUGUCGAUGUUUUCCUGGAGUCCUUGGAUCUGGCAGAAUGUCUCGUGGCAGGACAUAAAAUUAAGGAAAUUCUACCCUCGGUAGUUCAAAACACUAAUUUCAUGAAAAGGGAAGCAUGAA
rnacentral:lncRNA from 1 species